rnacentral:rRNA from 1 species
AUUGAACGCUGGCGGCAGGCCUAACACAUGCAAGUCGAGCGGAUGAAGGGAGCUUGCUCCUGGAUUCAGCGGCGGACGGGUGAGUAAUGCCUAGGAAUCUGCCUGGUAGUGGGGGAUAACGUCCGGAAACGGGCGCUAAUACCGCAUACGUUCUGAGGGAGAAAGUGGGGGAUCUUCGGACCUCACGCUAUCAGAUGAGCCUAGGUCGGAUUAGCUAGUUGGUGGGGUAAAGGCCUACCAAGGCGACGAUCCGUAACUGGUCUGAGAGGGUGAUCAGUCACACUGGAACUGAGACACGGUCCAGACUCCUACGGGAGGCAGCAGUGGGGAAUAUUGGACAAUGGGCGAAAGCCUGAUCCAGCCAUGCCGCGUGUGUGAAGAAGGUCUUCGGAUUGUAAAGCACUUUAAGUUGGGAGGAAGGGCAGUAAGUUAAUACCUUGCUGUUUUGACGUUACCAACAGAAUAAGCACCGGCUAACUUCGUG